CACUAUUUGUAGGAUUCAGCCCCAGAUGCCUUCUUGUUUUUCCUACAUAUUAAUAAAGGAAAUAAAUAAAAAAGGAUGUAAAGCUUGGUUAAACUCAAAAACAGAUCAGAGAGGAGAGAGCUGAGGAUGGGAUGGUGCUGGGAAGACGUUCAGCCUUGCUGUGCUGCUGCUCACAGACUCCCUGCUUUGAAGGAGACAUGAAAGGAGACAUUGCAACAUGACAGUUGCAAACUCUGUGGCUCUGUUGAUUUUUCCAACCCCCACGGCUGCCUGCCUCGGCGUCCUGUUCUUUGAACCCACACAGAGUAAACAGGUGUCACUCCUGUGGCUCUGUGGGCAGGAGAUGUGUUCCCAGAAGGAGCACUGGGGGCAGGCAGGAAAAGCCCCCGCUGCCAUCCUGGAGAGCAGCAUGUGGCAGUCAGAACACUCGGGCUGAAAAAGGGGGGAAAGAGAGAGAGAGAGAGAGGAACAAAAAUCAAGAAAACCUUCCAUAGAGGAAGAUCUCCUUGUGAAUGAAAGGAUCCCCAGGACUUCUAUGAAAGGAGUGCCUGGAAAGCUCAAGAAGAAAGCUCAGCCUCUUAACACUGGCUCCACAGAGCGCCGUUAACUGGGAUUAAGAAAGUCCACUAAUGCUUCCCAGCACCAGGAUUUCAGCAGCACGGAGACUCCCGAGGCAGAGAACCGCGACGGCAAAUCCAGCAGGAUCUCAAGGCAGCAGCUGCCUCUCCAUGCAGAUGCCGUUUAACUCCGGAUUUAUGUGCAUCCCACUUCAGAAAAUCGGCUGGAAAUCCAUCGUGCCUCCCCGUCACGGACAGUGGAGCGGUGGCACGGGGCUCCCAGCGCAUCCCCAGAGCUCCCAGCACAUUCCCAGAGCUCCCAGCACGUCCCGGCUGACCAGCAGAUGA
rnacentral:lncRNA from 13 species